rnacentral:rRNA from 1 species
UACAGAGGGGGCAAGCGUUAUUCGGAAUUAUUGGGCGUAAAGGGCGCGUAGGCGGCCAUUCAAGUGACGGGUGAAAGCCCGAGGCUCAACCUCGGAACUGCCUUCGAUACUGCGGGUCUCGAGUCCGGGAGAGGUGAGUGGAAUUCCUAGUGUAGAGGUGAAAUUCGUAGAUAUUAGGAAGAACACCAGUGGCGAAGGCGGCUCACUGGCCCGGUACUGACGCUGAGGCGCGAAAGCGUGGGGAGCAAACAGGG